UAGCGUUAGGCGCUAUGUGAGCCGCAUC
rnacentral:piRNA from 1 species